UCCUUCAAGGACAUCGAUAAGAUUGAAACGAUACAGAGAAGAUUAGCAUGGCCUUGGGCAAAAGGAUGACAUGCACAUAUCGGGAAAGAAAAGGAAGCAUA